GGCACUAUGGCGGAGUGGUUAACGCGAUGCCCUGCUAUUUUAUCCAAAAUUUGCAGAGAAAGAAAACAUCUUUCUAGUUUAGGCAUUUCCCUCGGGAGCGCAGGUUCGAAUCCUGCUGGUGUCG
rnacentral:tRNA from 1 species